rnacentral:rRNA from 1 species
UACGUAGGGAGCGAGCGUUAUCCGGAUUUAUUGGGCGUAAAGGGUGCGUAGGCGGCUUGUUAAGUAUGAAAUUAAAGCCCGGGGCUUAACUCCGGUUCGUUUCAUAAACUGGCAGGCUUGAGUAUGGAAGAGGUAAACGGAAUUUCUAGUGUAGCGGUGGAAUGCGUAGAUAUUAGAAGGAACACCAGUGGCGAAGGCGGUUUACUGGGCCAUUACUGACGCUGAGGCACGAAAGCGUGGGGAGCAAAUAGG